UACGUAGGGGCCUAGCGUUGUCCGGAAUUAUUGGGCGUAAAGAGCUCGUAGGCGGUUCGGCAAGUCGGAUGUGAAAUCUCCACGCUCAACGUGGAGGGGCCAUUCGAAACUGCCGUGACUCGAGUCCGGUAGGGGAGUGUGGAAUUCCCGGUGUAGCGGUGAAAUGCGCAGAUAUCGGGAAGAACACCCGUGGCGAAGGCGGCACUCUGGGACGGUACUGACGCUGAGACGCGAAAGCGUGGGGAGCGAACAGG
rnacentral:rRNA from 1 species